rnacentral:rRNA from 1 species
AGAAUCAACGCUGGCGGCGUGCCUAACACAUGCAAGUCGCACGAGAAAGGGGAGCAAUCCCUGAGUACAGUGGCGCACGGGUGAGUAACACGUGAAUAAUCUACCUCCGAGUGGGGAAUAAACUGAGAGAAAUCUUAGCUAAUACCGCAUAACACUUACGAGUCAAAGCAGCAAUGCGCUUGGAGAGGAGUUCGCGGCCGAUUAGUUAGUUGGCGGGGUAAUGGCCCACCAAGACGAUGAUCGGUA